GGAGGGAUGCCCGAGUGGUUAAAGGGGACGGACUGUAAAUCCGUUGGUUUCACCUACGUUGGUUCAAAUCCAACUCCCUCCACCA
rnacentral:tRNA from 1 species